UACGUAGGGUGCAAGCGUUGUCCGGAAUUAUUGGGCGUAAAGGGCUCGUGGGCGGUUUGUCGCGUCGGGAGUGAAAACCCAGGGCUUAACCCUGGGCUGGCUUUCGAUACGGGCAGACUAGAGGUAUGCAGGGGAGAACGGAAUUCCUGGUGUAGCGGUGAAAUGCGCAGAUAUCAGGAGGAACACCGGUGGCGAAGGCGGUUCUCUGGGCAUGUCCUGACGCUGAGGAGCGAAAGUGUGGGGAGCGAACAGG
rnacentral:rRNA from 1 species